UUAAAUUUGAAUAAAUAACCAUUUCUUUUUUUAAAUUUGAAUAAAUAAUCAUUUCUUUUUCCAAAUUUAAAUAAAUAACCUUCUUUUUUUCUAAAUUUGAAAUAAUGACCCCUUUUUUUUGUGUGCUGGUGGUGUUACCACAGGUUUGUGUAUGCGUCUAGUGUGGUUGGGAGUCAAAGACUCUUAAACUGCCGCUGGAUAGCUUAUAUUCAUAGGUGAAAAGAAAGCUGAGUGCGUAAGUCUUUCCUUCCAGUAUAUAGCCUCUACACUAACAAGACUUCUACAGUGCCUCCCCGUGACAGCACACGGUAACUAGGAUCUAGUGUCCUAGGCUUGACUGUAGAGGAUCUCGGAGUAGCAAGGACCCUAGAGAUGAAGUGUGUAGGCCGAUUGACAUGCGGACAUCCCUAGCACUCAUCACCCUUGCCCCAGUUAUGGGUCAAAUAGCCGGCUGAAUGAUGGUCAUAAGCCUUGAAAGGAUGUCUAGGAGAAGAAAACUCUUGAUAUGAAAUUUUUGGUAGAUUUGACUCGUCAGCCUUGGUCUGCAAUUGAUUUAAAGGAAACAAAGCUUGAGUAAAGAUUCUCUGGUUCUCCAGGUUUGGGAUUGAGAAAUAUGUCAACAACCUAUCCUUGUAAAAAGGAAGAAUGAUUAUAUACUGAUUAAUCUCCCAGAUGAGGAACAUCACAACUGGGUCUGCAUGAAGCUUUGACAUUCAAAAGACAAGUUAUCCUGGAUAUUUUGAAAACACGUAAAUGAUUUACUGAAGGAAAAUCGAAGGAAGUAGGACCUGAAUGUAAAAUAAUACCAACUUGAAGACAAAGUGUGCUUGUUAAUUUAGAAAUCAACUGAAGCAGAAGAAGAAGAACGGAUUCUGUUGAUCUGAGAAACUUGGAAACACUUAUUGACAAAAAAAUAUGUAGUAUAAUACAAUUAUGUUUAAAGAGAGAGAUAGAAAAAGGGUGAGAGCCAGUUGUAAAGAUUUAUUCUUUUAAACCAGUUAUGUUGAUUACAUUCGAAUUUCAUAGGCCUACAGUUCGCCCCUAUAUGGUCUUAGUUAAUACAUGUACUAGGUGAUUAAUGUAAGACUUUGAUGUGACGUUUGAGAACAAUCAGCUGCCAUUGGUUUAAAUCUUUUUUUAUGCCCUUUCAGUUGGGGGGGGGGGGAUAUUGUUUUACUCCUGUCCUUACGCUCUACCAUCCUUUUAUAGGUAUAUAGAAUUAAGAAGAUGUGAAAUUGGUGACAAUGAGACAACUCUCAUCCAAUUUACAUGUAGUAUAGAUAACUACUCCUAGAGUUUAAGGAGUUAUCUCCCAUAUUUGUAGGUACUUUUGAUAUUUUGAUAUUUCAUGAUAAGGCUAAUGUAAAUAGAAGAUUUAACUUGUUUUUGAAUUUAACAAACUGUGCAUAAGUUGUGAGGAAUGGAAACUAGCAGGCCGAGUUUAAGGGUUAAGGGGAGGGAAUACACUUGUUUAUCUUUUCAUAUGAGCUAGUUUUUUUCACUGCAUGGAAGGCCUGCAAUAAAUUAGAAUGUAUUAGUUUUAUAUAUGAUUGUUAUAUAUUUGUUGUUAGAUAUGCUAUAUAAGAUGCAAAAAAGUAAGAUGACAGUAUUAUAGUUCUGUAAAUAAAAUUAGCUUGUAAACAGAGGUCUAGAUAAUGCAUUAAGUUGAUUGGUCUGACAUUGGAAUUUCAAAUUAUAUUUAUGUCGUCAUCUACAAAAGAGCUUCCAUUCUCAAUAUUAUCUGAUAUUAAACACCCCUUCCUCCCAAUUAUGACUUCAUUUUUAGUUUAAUGAGUUAUCUCCCAUAUUUGUAGGUACUUUGGUAACAGUAUUUCAUGAUAAGGCUAAUGCAAAUAGGAGACAACUCUUGUUUUUUGUAGAAAAGAAAAUUUAACUUGUUUUCAAAUUUAAUGGUAAAUCCUGUGACUUCGUAAAUUUUUUCUUAGCUUUAAAAUAAUAUUUAACACCCUGUCCAUGAAAUUGAAUAUUGCUCCUCUUGAUUUUAGUAAGUGAAUUCUUUUGUAAUAGUUUAAAAGAAAUGUCAAAUAGUAUUUCAUAAUGCAUUAGAAGGAAUGGUAUAUUUUAUAGAAUGCUAGUAUUGUUUUACUUGUAUGUUUAAAAGUAGUCACAAAAAAUGUCAUAUAUUAUUUGUUUUACUAUUUACUAUUUUAAAGUGGAAUAACAUGAACUUAUUUCCCUAUUUGCUAGUUCAUAACGAUUGUAAAGUUGAAAUUUCUGUAAGAAUUAAACACCUAUGAUUCUUCCCUACAAUGUAUGAGUAUUUUUUAAAGCGGGGUGUAUUUUUUUUUCAAUAUUGCCAUAUUCUUAUGUCGUAAGUAUCAGUAUUAUAUAAGGUGAUUGCUACAUAAAUCAUUUCUCAUUUUAAUAAAUAACAUUUAUUUGAA